UUAGGAAUCUUCCACAAUGGGCGAAAGCCUGAUGGAGCGACGCCGCGUGAGGGAUGAAGGCCUUAGGGUUGUAAACCUCUAAAAGAGGGACGAUAAUGACGGUACCUCUUGAAUAGCACCGGCUAACUCCGUGCCAGCAGCCGCGGUAAUACGGAGGGUGCAAGCGUUAUCCGGAAUCACUGGGCGUAAAGGGCGCGUAGGCGGUCUGUUAAGUCCGAUGUUAAAUCCCGGGGCUCAACCCCGGAUAAGCGUUGGAUACUGGCAGGCUAGACGGUUGGAGAGGCGAGUGGAAUUACCAGUGUAGCGGUGGAAUGCGUAGAUACUGGUAGGAACACCCAUUGCGAAGGCAGCUCGCUGGACAACACGUGACGCUGAGGCGCGAAAGUGUGGGGAGCAA
rnacentral:rRNA from 1 species